rnacentral:rRNA from 1 species
GCGAGUGAAGAGGGAAGAGCCCAAGAUUGAAAGCUGGCGUCUUCGGCGUCCGCAUUGUAAUCUCAAGAAGUGUUUUCCGCUUCGGACCAUGCCUAAGUCCCUUGGAAAAGGGCAUCAUAGAGGGUGAUAAUCCCGUACAUGGCAUGGAGCGCCCGAAGCUUUGUGAUACGCUUUCUACGAGUCGAGUUGUUUGGGAAUGCAGCUCAAAAUGGGUGGUAAAUGCCAUCUAAGGCUAAAUAUUGGGGAGAGACCGAUAGCGAACAAGUACAGUGAUGGAAAGAUGAAAAGAACUUUGAAAAGAGAGUUAAACAGUACGUGAAAUUGCCAAAAGGGAAGGGUAGGAGGUCAGAGAUGCGUCUUGGGAUUCAGCCUUGCUUUUGCAUGGUGUUUUUCCCAAGUUGCAGGCCAACGUCGGUUUUGGGCACUGGAGAAGGGUAGGAGGAACGUGGCACCUCUCGGGGUGUGUUAUAGCCUCCUACUGGAUACAGCGACCGAGACCGAGGAACGCAGCGUACUCGUAAGAGCGGGCCUUUUGGCACCUUUACGCUUAGGGCGUUGGCAUAAUGGCCCUCUACCACCCGUCUUA